AAGAAAGCAAUGAUUAGGAGUAGUACUUCUAAAAUAACUAUUAGAGAGAGUGAACGACAGCUGGAACGUUCAUAUAGUGUUUAGAAGGAAUGGACCUAUGAGUGUGGUAAUGAACAAAGUAGUUACCAACGGUUCUCCCGUUACGAGAUGAGUGUGUGGUUAUUGAUGUGAAACGUCUGUAAUCAUAAACUAAGGUGGUACCGCGAUUUUGUCGUCCUUAUU
rnacentral:ncRNA from 1 species